rnacentral:rRNA from 1 species
UGGGGAAUAUUGGACAAUGGGCGAAAGCCUGAUCCAGCCAUGCCGCGUGUGUGAAGAAGGUCUUCGGAUUGUAAAGCACUUUAAGUUGGGAGGAAGGGUUGUAGAUUAAUACUCUGCAAUUUUGACGUUACCGACAGAAUAAGCACCGGCUAACUCUGUGCCAGCAGCCGCGGUAAUACAGAGGGAGCAAGCGUUAAUCGGAAUUACUGGGCGUAAAGCGCGCGUAGGUGGUUAGUUAAGUUGGAUGUGAAAUCCCCGGGCUCAACCUGGGAACUGCAUUCAAAACUGACUGACUAGAGUAUGGUAGAGGGUGGUGGAAUUUCCUGUGUAGCGGUGAAAUGCGUAGAUAUAGGAAGGAACACCAGUGGCGAAGGCGACCACCUGGACUGAUACUGACACUGAGGUGCGAAAGCGUGGGGAGCAAACA